rnacentral:rRNA from 1 species
AGGGUGACAGCCCCGUACACAAAAGCGCAUGUGCUGUGAGCUCGAUGAGUAGGGCGGGACACGUGGUAUCCUGUCUGAAUAUGGGGGGACCAUCCUCCAAGGCUAAAUACUCCUGACUGACCGAUAGUGAACCAGUACCGUGAGGGAAAGGCGAAAAGAACCCCGGCGAGGGGAGUGAAAAAGAACCUGAAACCGUGUACGUACAAGCAGUGGGAGCACCCUUUGGGGUGUGACUGCGUACCUUUUGUAUAAUGGGUCAGCGACUUAUAUUCUGUAGCAAGGUUAACCGUAUAGGGGAGCCGUAGGGAAACCGAGUCUUAACCGGGCGUUAAGUUGCAGGGUAUAGACCCGAAACCCGGUGAUCUAGCCAUGGGCAGGUUGAAGGUUGGGUAACACUAACUGGAGGACCGAACCGACUAAUGUUGAAAAAUUAGCGGAUGACCUGUGGCUGGGGGUGAAAGGCCAAUCAAACCGGGAGAUAGCUGGUUCUCCCCGAAAGCUAUUUAGGUAGCGCCUCGUGAAUUCAUCUCCGGGGGUAGAGCACUGUUUCGGCUAGGGGGCCAUCCCGGCUUACCAACCCGAUGCAAACUGCGAAUACCGGAGAAUGUUAUCACGGGAGACACACGGCGGGUGCUAACGUCCGUCGUGAAGAGGGAAACAACCCAGACCGCCAGCUAAGGUCCCAAAGUCAUGGUUAAGUGGGAAACGAUGUGGGAAGGCCCAGACAGCCAGGAUGUUGGCUUAGAAGCAGCCAUCAUUUAAAGAAAGCGUAAUAGCUCACUGGUCGAGUCGGCCUGCGCGGAAGAUGUAACGGGGCUAAACCAUGCACCGAAGCUGCGGCAGCGACACUCAGGUGUUGUUGGGUAGGGGAGCGUUCUGUAAGCCUGUGAAGGUGGCCUGUGAGGGUUGCUGGAGGUAUCAGAAGUGCGAAUGCUGACAUAAGUAACGAUAAAGCGGGUGAAAAGCCCGCUCGCCGGAAGACCAAGGGUUCCUGUCCAACGUUAAUCGGGGCAGGGUGAGUCGACCCCUAAGGCGAGGCCGAAAGGCGUAGUCGAUGGGAAACAGGUUAAUAUUCCUGUACUUGGUGUUACUGCGAAGGGGGGACGGAGAAGGCUAUGUUGGCCGGGCGACGGUUGUCCCGGUUUAAGCGUGUAGGUGUGUGUUCCAGGUAAAUCCGGUUCACUUUAACACUGAGGCGUGAUGACGAGGCACUACGGUGCUGAAGCAACAAAUGCCCUGCUUCCAGGAAAAGCCUCUAAGCAUCAGGUAACAUCAAAUCGUACCCCAAACCGACACAGGUGGUCAGGUAGAGAAUACCAAGGCGCUUGAGAGAACUCGGGUGAAGGAACUAGGCAAAAUGGUGCCGUAACUUCGGGAGAAGGCACGCUGACACGUAGGUGAAGUGAUUUACUCAUGGAGCUGAAGUCAGUCGAAGAUACCAGCUGGCUGCAACUGUUUAUUAAAAACACAGCACUGUGCAAACACGAAAGUGGACGUAUACGGUGUGACGCCUGCCCGGUGCCGGAAGGUUAAUUGAUGGGGUCAGCGCAAGCGAAGCUCCUGAUCGAAGCCCCGGUAAACGGCGGCCGUAACUAUAACGGUCCUAAGGUAGCGAAAUUCCUUGUCGGGUAAGUUCCGACCUGCACGAAUGGCGUAAUGAUGGCCAGGCUGUCUCCACCCGAGACUCAGUGAAAUUGAACUCGCUGUGAAGAUGCAGUGUACCCGCGGCAAGACGGAAAGACCCCGUGAACCUUUACUAUAGCUUGACACUGAACAUUGAGCCUUGAUGUGUAGGAUAGGUGGGAGGCUUUGAAGCGUGGACGCCAGUCUGCGUGGAGCCGACCUUGAAAUACCACCCUUUAAUGUUUGAUGUUCUAACGUGGACCCGUAAUCCGGGUUGCGGACAGUGUCUGGUGGGUAGUUUGACUGGGGCGGUCUCCUCCUAAAGAGUAACGGAGGAGCACGAAGGUUGGCUAAUCCUGGUCGGACAUCAGGAGGUUAGUGCAAUGGCAUAAGCCAGCUUGACUGCGAGCGUGACGGCGCGAGCAGGUGCGAAAGCAGGUCAUAGUGAUCCGGUGGUUCUGAAUGGAAGGGCCAUCGCUCAACGGAUAAAAGGUACUCCGGGGAUAACAGGCUGAUACCGCCCAAGAGUUCAUAUCGACGGCGGUGUUUGGCACCUCGAUGUCGGCUCAUCACAUCCUGGGGCUGAAGUAGGUCCCAAGGGUAUGGCUGUUCGCCAUUUAAAGUGGUACGCGAGCUGGGUUUAGAACGUCGUGAGACAGUUCGGUCCCUAUCUGCCGUGGGCGCUGGAGAACUGAGGGGGGCUGCUCCUAGUACGAGAGGACCGGAGUGGACGCAUCACUGGUGUUCGGGUUGUCAUGCCAAUGGCACUGCCCGGUAGCUAAAUGCGGAAGAGAUAAGUGCUGAAAGCAUCUAAGCACGAAACUUGCCCCGAGAUGAGUUCUCCCUGAGACUUAGAGUCUCCUGAAGGAACGUUGAAGACGACGACGUUGAUAGGCCGGGUGUGUAAGCGCAGCGAUGCGUUGAGCUAACCGGUACUAAUGAACCGUGAGGCUUAACCUUAC